GCCAGCAUCACAUAGUGGUUUGAGGGUUAGACUGUGAAUCUGGAGACCAGGGUUCAAUUCCCAGCUCUGCCA